AAAGUCCUAGCUUAAUUAAAGCAUCUGAGUUGCAUUCAGGAGAUGUAGAGUAGUGUUCUACGGGCUUUA
rnacentral:tRNA from 1 species